UACGCAGGUGGCAAGCGUUGUCCGGAUUUACUGGGCGUAAAGAGCGCGCAGGCGGUCGUUCAAGUCGCGUGUGAAAGCCCCCGGCUCAACUGGGGAGGGUCACGCGAUACUGAUCGACUGGAAGGCAGGAGAGGGUAGUGGAAUUCCCGGUGUAGUGGUGAAAUGCGUAGAUAUGCGGAGGAACACCGAUGGCGAAGGCAGCCCCCUGGGUCAAAACUGACGCUCAUGCACGAAAGCGUGGGGAGCAAACAGG
rnacentral:rRNA from 1 species